rnacentral:lncRNA from 1 species
GUAUCCACAAAGAUAGGGGUAUCCUGGUGGUUCGGAGCAUUUAGAGGCUCAGGGAUGAGCGGUGGAGCAUUGUUGCAAACUUGGGUUGGGGUCUUCUGCGGACGUGCAAGGACCUGAUUGUUGACAUCUACAGCAGCAAGGGAUAUGGAUAGACUUGCCAAACUUCUGACUCGGUCCAGUUCCUCUCGAAACCUUAGCAAAUAUUGCUCCAAAUGAGCAGCAGUUUCCUUGGUGAUUGGGGUACCCUGAGAAGUUCCUUCAAUUUCCUCUCUUGCUUCAUUAUCUGCCAUCUUUCCUUUGUUCCUGUUUCUGGGAGGACUCAGAGGAGGAGGAGGAGGACCCUUAGAUCUUGUUGAGCGCCUUCAAUUUCCUUUCUUGCUUCAUUAUCUGCCAUCUUUCCUUUGUUCCUAUUUCUUGGAGGACUCGGAGGAGGAGCACCCUUAGAUCUUGAUUAAUAUGCUGAUUGUGCCAGAAUGCAGGAACUAACCUUUGGGGAGGGGAUAAAAACAAAAGGAAAACAAAAAGGUAAAAAGUUAGUGCAGAUUCUGAGAAAGAGAACACUGCAGUAUGAAAACACGUUGCUACAAAAAAAUAAAUCAUUUCCUAUUUGGGUGCCAUGUUGUGCCCGAGGUAGGCCUAACGACAAAUAAUGAUUUGGAGAACUCAUAAUACCACAUGCCUCAUUUUAUUGAUAGAAAAUAGAACGAGUCAAAACAAACUGAAACAAAGAAAAAUUUUCACUAAUGCCCAAAGGCCUUAUUACAUUGAGAAAGCAGUAAAAUCCUAACUACUUGGUCCCAAAAGGACCUUCCCCAUAUUCGGUAUCUUUGCCUCCCUCAUAUAGCUUCAUCUCGCGCAUUCCCAGCAACAAAUAAGCCUGAGCCAAACGCCCACUUUCAUUACCUUCAACUUCCUGACAGUCUUUGAUCCUUUUCAGAAACUUGCCUUCCAGCUCCACUAUGCCUUGUUCCAAGUACCCUAAACGGUUGCUUGCUCGGACAGCCAUGUCUUUAUUCAUUGAAUACCUUCUCUUGAGCUUCUAGUACUUCCUGAUGUUCGCUCUCAUACUCUCGCAUCCGCGUGCGUAGCUGGUUGUACUCGACCUUUGAUGCAUCCUCCUCAUCAAUAACUUUGUGACCAUGAACGAAACUUAUUUUUCCUAAGCCAAUAUGAUAAUCUUCUAACCAUCCCGGAUAAAGUGGUGCAUGCCCCUCCUGGUACCUAUCUGGUUCCAUGGAUUCCUUUUCUAGAAUGAUUUUGGAGUGCCACAUAUGCUGAGCUCGGCAUGUGUGUGGGUUAUCAUUUCCUUGGAAAUCAGCUCUGUAUUGACUCAUCUUUUGCACUCUUGGUACAAUCUGCUUCCUUCCGUCUUGCCUCAUUUCUCGGAGAGGACAUAAGGGUAAGUUCCUCUAGCACCUGUGUGGGCUAUCAUCAUCCUGGAAAUCGGCUCUGCAAUGACUCAUCUUUUCCACGCUUGGUAUAAUCUGCUUCGUUUCGGCUUGCCUCGUGACUCGGAGAGGGACAUAAGGGUAAGUUCCUCUCAAGCCGAUGAGUACAAGGAGUGACGCAUCCUUAGAUCGAAUGAUAAACUCUCUAGUUGGAAACCACUCAUACAUCCAUUGCAUCGGUUCUCUUUUUGGAUUUAUUAAUAGUUUCACCAAUCCCCUGGCGUCUUCCGGUUGAGCAAACAUAUCCGGCAUGAAGUGCAUCAACUUUGGAUGAUGGAAAGCAAUGUCCGUACAUCCAUUGUACCUGCUCUUCUUUUAGAUUUCUUAGUAAUUCUGCUCAUCCUCUGGCGUCUUCCGAGUGAGCAAACAUAUCUGGCAUGAAAUGCAUCCGCUUUGGAUGAUGGAAAGCAAUGUGAUCAUCCCAAUUCCAGCGUAUGAUCUCCUGCCUAUGCUCUUUCUUUUAGAGAUGUUCAAUGAGCCAGAGUUGUAGUAUUAGAUUGCACCCUUCAAAGUGUUGUGCCCCUUGCUGGCAUUUCUAUAAGGCACGGUACAUUUCUGCGAGGAUCAUGGGUGCUAUGCUGAAUAUCUGCUCAUCGAUACCCUCCAUCACGGCUUUGGUUACCAUGGCAAGUCUUGUAUGGAUCCUAGACUUCUUCAUCGGGAAAAUUAUCAUUCCCAAAAAAUAGAACAUGAACACAAAAUCCCUCUUAUGUAUGUACCCCAAAUAGGUAAGGGCGAACUCUUCCAUGUGAUUGAGGUAUGAUUUGCUAUGUUCAAACCUUUCAUACAUGAAGUCGAAGGAUAUGUAGGAGUCCUUCAGGCUGGUCAAAUUUGGGUUUAGUCCCAUCAUCUUCAAGAACCUCUACCUUUUCAGCUUUCUGGCAUGAGCAACCCCGGGCUAUCCCAAGGAAUUCCGGCUAAACCCCCAAUUUCCUCCAACAGCGGCGUCAUUUCAAUAUCCCCAAAGCGGAAGAUAGACCAUUCACUAUCUAAAGACAUAGUAGCAGCUUCCACGAUCUUGUUAUCUGGCCUAACUUCCAAAAGUGAAGGAAGGUUUCCUAAGUGUUUACUGAUGGCAACCCAAUCACUACCAUGAAAAUCGUCCCACCAACUUAGCAAUUUUGGAUGAAUGUUUGAUACCAUACCGAACCUGGGGACCUCGUGCCUCAUUUCCUGCAAAAGAGAGAGCUAUGCCCUUACCCCACCGGACGCUACUAUUUAAAUCAAUAAUUAGCAAAAUGUAUUUAGUUCUCCGAAUCAAUGCACACAACGUGAUGGAGAGUUAGGCCCUUAACCCCACCGGACUCGACUAUUUAAAUCAAUAAUUAGCAAAAGGCAUUUAAUUCUCUGAAUCAAUGCACAUAACAUGAAUGUCCGUUUGGGUUUCGAGGAAACCCAAUGGACUUUGGUUUAGGCUAUCCUAAUGAGUCAUUAUGCGGACAACACAACUUACUCGGCUAAGUUAUACCAUGAUGCGUGAACAAUUAAAUAGAAUAAGGUUUCUACUUUUGAAGUGCUAGACAAGGUACCCGUGAUCAGACAACUCAAGAGGGAAAGGCGCGGAACCGUCGACUACAUCGUUGAUCGACUGGUUUUACCGCGAAUCUGCCUUUUUCCAAAUUUAGAGGGUUUGGAAGUAUUGGAAGGGCGCAACCACUCAUUAUAAGUGUUGCUAUAGGAUUUGUUUGGCACGAGUGGAAAAUUAUAUUGAAUGAUGCAAUCACAACAAGGAAAUAAGUACAUGUAUUUUCACAUUCAUACAAUAAUGGUUACAAUGAAUGCUCGAAAUUAAGGACGGAAUUGAAAUAAGAUAAAUACAAUAAAGCCGUAAAACUGUAAAAGAUAAAGGAAAGACGAGAAGAAAGAAGUUAGUAAUUGUGAAAAAUAAAUGAAGCAAUAAAUAAAGAAAGCAGUAAUGUCACAAAACACGUAGCGGUAAAAGCCUUAAAGAAAUCCCCAGCAGAGUCGCCAUACUGUCGACGCCCCCCUUUUUCAAGAGCGAAAUUGGGUUUCACAAUAUUAUGGGGAAAAGCAACUCUAUUUCCCAUUUGGAAAUUAGGUUAUGGAAUUGGAAGAGUCGCCACCUAAUGGUUAUAGUGCAUUAGGACACUUUAAGAGAGUAUUUUCGAGAGAGAAACCAGAGUUGGGUAAGGACUUGAGAUUAUCUCGAGGGGAAGGUGUUAGGCACCUCUCAAGAUCCACAAAUGUGGUUGCCGGCCGUGCUAAUUGUUAUUUUGGAAGAAGAUGAAGCAAAUGAAAUGCACACGUACAACAUUCAUAUAAUCUUAAAGCUUUAAAUAAAAGGACAUAAGUUUGAAAUAAAAGAGGAUUAGUUUGGAAAGCAUUAAGAAUGUAGUGAAAUAGAUAGCAAAGAAAGAAGGGUCCUAGGUUUAACUAUAAUAUGGAUCAUUCGAUGCAAUAUCUAGCUCACAUUCCCAAAGAGGGGUCGCUUUACGAUAUAAUCGCAUCGUCAUCAUCACCAUAUUCUAUCCUUCCCAACUCGUAGAGGUUAUUUAAACGUGUGAAUUGGUCAAGAAUGCUUAUUGCGUGUCGUUACCCGUCCCGUUCUAUAGAUCCUGGAGGGCACUUAGGUUCACUAUUCCUAUAAGGUAGGAACUAGGUUGGACCCCUGGAUUCAAAGGUAAAAAUGCUAGGCGACAUACAAAAGCAAAUAGGACUUACACGUAAAGGGAAUCAUGUAUAACAUAUAAAGGCUCAAUUAUCCCUCCAUUAAUGAACACGUAAUGAGCACGGCUCAAACACAAUUAAGGUCUAAGGAAAGAAAGAGUUUUUAAAGCUAGAGUAGAAGUAUGACAAAAACAGAAACUGGAGAGUUUUGCAGAAAGAGAUGUGAGGAAAGCGUUUAGAGACUUUAAAAGGGCAAUAGCAAUUUUAGGAAUCUGCAGAAAUCACUAAACAGCAUUUGUGGAAAAUAUGGUAGAACAGUUUUCGGACAGGCAGAGUAAAAAACAAGUAUGAAGGUAUUUUUUUAACAUUUCAAAAAGUGUAAAGAAAAACUAUCAGCUUUGAACUUUCAAAAAAAUUACGGUAUUCAGAUAGUUGAAAAUAGUAGUAUAAUUCUGGACGAUAGAAACCGUUGCAUCGAUAGUUUAAACAAAAGGGCAGAAGUAUAAAAUUUUAGAGAGCUUCAGAGACAAACGAUUCAAACAUGGGCGGAGAACAUGGUUUUUAUGUGUGAGGAUGUAUGUCCUAAAGCAUGGUAACUAUUGCACAAAUAAAUAAAUAAGUCCUAUAGGCAUGUCUUCUACCCAUUUCCUUAAUUAAACAUACAUACCCCCCCCGCAUAGUAUGGCACAGUAUCCNNNNNNNNNNNNNNNNNNNNNNNNNNNNNNNNNNNNNNNNNNNNNNNNNNNNNNNNNNNNNNNNNNNNNNNNNNNNNNNNNNNNNNCCCCCCCCCAUAUUUACUAUAAUCCCCAUUGUUUUUACAAAUUAUUAUAGCCAGAUAACUAAAAAUACAAUAGUGAGAAAGGAAAAUAAGAAGUUACUCUUUAGAGAGCCUUCAGCCAAGCCCAAACAUCUCCAACAUCACUUCUUUUGAAUUUCACAGCCAGUACCAAGGUUUGGGUACGGAAAAGCUCCCUAAGGGUUCGUUACCUUGGCCAAUACCAGGCACCCAAAAGAUGUCCCAAUUGGAAAGUUUCAAACAUUGAAAGGCAGCCUUGGGCAUCAGAGUUCCGUGGGUGCUCAAGGCUCCCAUGGCAGUGCUUACACCAAGGGGGCAGAACCUAGGGUUCUAAGAGUAGUGAAGUUGUGAUAGAAUUGAGAGAGUAGAAAAAAUAGUUGAGAAUUGAUUUAUGAAAACGGCAAAAGGAUUUGGAAGAUAGUUUGAGAAAAUAAUUUAAAAGAGUUGAAAGGAAUUAUUUUAAAAACAUUUGUACUAACCAGUUUAGACCAUUAUACAAACAGGGGGCAAAGGGGGGAGGGAACAGAUAAGUACCGGAUCGACUUACACCCAGGCAAACAUAGUGAAGGCAGGUAAUAAGACAUGGUUGUAGAACACAUAGGGGUUCAGUUCUUGCUGCACCAAACCCCAAUACAUUUAACCUCAAGAAGAGGUAUUAGGCUAAUCAAGUAGCCAGUAGCCCUGGAUACAUGGUAAUAAUGCACAAGGGAAAGUAAACAUUCAUUGAGACAGGCAAGGGGUAAGGGCAGCAUGCUAAUCUAAGCUAAAUAGGCUGGUAAGUGUAUACUAGUGACAACAAGAACAUCAGAACCAUAGGUAAAAGCACACAAGAAACAAGAAGAAGUGCAAAACUAGUAAAAGCAUGUUGUUUUAUAAACAAUAUAUUAAAUAGGUAACAUACCAGUUGCAGACAAUAGAACACAAUAACAAUGAGCAGUAGUGCACAAUAGAGAGCAAAGUAUGCAGAAAAUGGGAGCAGCAAUUUGAGAACAGCAAUGGGCAGCAAAGUUUGAGAAUGCCAGUGUGCAGCAAAGAGAGCAGCAGGCAAAUCCAUGCAAAUAUUGCAGGAGAACCUUAGUAGUGCAGAAGUAUACAGCCAAGAUUACUCAACUUGGCUUUCAGCCAAUUUAGUGAGAGAAUUUGUAGAAAAGAAACAAAACAGUAGGGAGAUAGAGAGCACUGAAUGUUAUUGAAAGAAAGUUCAGAGAGACUGCAAUGUCUUAGUACGAAAGAUAUGCAAUGUGUUGGUAUGAGAGAUAUGCAAUGUGUUGGUUGUGUUUCAAAGAGAAUGGGUAGGUACUUAUAGUACUAGAAACGAGUGAACAAACAAGGCACCAAUAAUUAAGGAACGGGCAUCAAUCACAAUCCCAUCAGUGUAAGGAUUUCCCUUUAAUUAAGGAGUCCAAG